rnacentral:rRNA from 1 species
AGAGAAUAGAUACCCUGGUAGUCCACGCCCUAAACGAUGGAUACUAGGCGUAGGAGGUAUCGACCCCUCCUGUGCCGCAGCAAACGCAUUAAGUAUCCCGCCUGGGGAGUACGGCCGCAAGGUUGAAACUCAAAUGAAUUGACGGGGACCCGGCACAAGCGGUGGAGCAUGUGGAUUAAUUCGAUACUAACCGAAGAACCUUACCCACUCUUGACAUUGAAGGAAAGGCAUAGAGAUAUGUCCCUCGCCCACAAGGCGACCUGAAAACAGAUGUUGCAUGGCUGUCGUCAGCUCGUGCCGUGAGGUGUACGGUUAAGUCCGCCAACGAGCGCAACCCUCGUUCUGUGUUACCAGCGAGUAAAGUCGGGCACUCACAGGAGACCGCCGGUGUAAGCCGGAGGAAGGUGGGGAUGAUGUCAAGUCAGCAUGGCUCUUACGAGUGGGGCUUCACACAUGCUACAAUGGGCGCAACAAAGGGCCGCGAUACCGUGAGGUGGAGCAAAUCCCAAAAAUACGUCCUCAGUUCAGAUU